UCAACCACGGUGCCAGGUCCAUAGGAGAGACUGCUCCAACCACACAGGCUACCAGAGAAUAAAAUAGACAUGGGGAAGAACUGGAUCCAACCUGCUGCUUAGAGACACGCAACUGAGUCCAACCUAGAUCACAUAAAAUCCAGCCACCCUGCAGAUGUGACUUCCAGCACUACGUUGAAUAGCAGUGUUAAGACUGGGCAUCCUUGCCUUGUUCUGGACCUUGGCAGAAAAGCUUUAGUUUUCUUCACUGAUUAUGAUGCUAGAGGUAGGUUUUUCAUAAAUUCCUUCAUUGUGAUGAUAUAAGUUAUUUCUAUACCUAUUCUGUUUAGAGUUUCUUUUAUCAUGAAAGGAUAUUGAAUUUGUCAAAAUACUUUUCCUGCAUCUGUUGAAAUAAUGUGGUUUUUGACUUUCAUUCUGUUAACGUAAUAUCUGUUGUAUCACAAUGUUGAUUUUUUUAUGUCAAAUCAUGCUUGAAUCUCAAGGAUAAAUUUCACCCCAUCAUGAUGUAUGAUCCUUUUAAUGUGCUGUUGAAUUCAGUUUUCUAGUAUUUUAUUGAAGAUUUUUGCAGGUAUGUUCAUCAAGGAUAUUGACUUGUAGUCUCUUUUCUUGUGUUGCCUUUUUCUGGCUUUAGUAUCUGGGUGAUGCUGAACUUAUAAAAUGAAGUUAGGUGUGUUUCUUCUUCUUCUUCUAUUUUUUUGAAGCAUUUAAUAAAUGCUGGUGUUAAUUCUUCUUUAAGUGUAUGGCGGAAUUCAUCCAUGAAGGCUUCUGGUCCUGGG
rnacentral:lncRNA from 1 species